rnacentral:rRNA from 1 species
UACGUAGGGGCCUAGCGUUGUCCGGAAUCAUUGGGCGUAAAGAGCUCGUAGGCGGUUCGGCAAGUCACGUGUGAAAUCUCCACGCUUAACGUGGAGGCGCCACGUGAAACUGCCGUGACUCGAGUCCGGUAGGGGAGUGUGGAAUUCCCGGUGUAGCGGUGAAAUGCGCAGAUAUCGGGAGGAACACCAGUAGCGAAGGCGGCACUCUGGGCCGGUACUGGACGCUGAGGAGCGAAAGCGUGGGGAGCGAACAGG